GUGAGGAAUAUUGCGCAAUGGAGGCAACUCUGACGCAGCCAUGCCGCGUGCAGGAAGAAGGCGCUACGCGUUGUAAACUGCUUUUAACCGGGAAGAAACCCCAGGACGUGUCCUGGGUUGACGGUACCGGAGGAAUAAGCACCGGCUAACUUCGUGCCAGCAGCCGCGGUAAUACGAAGGGUGCAAGCGUUAUCCGGAUUCAUUGGGUUUAAAGGGUGCGUAGGCGGAGCGUUAAGACAGUGGUGAAAUCCUGCAGCUUAACUGUAGACUUGCCAUUGAUACUGGCGCUCUUGAGUGCGCUUGAAGUGGGCGGAAUGUGCCGUGUAGCGGUGAAAUGCUUAGAUAUGGCACAGAACACCAAUUGCGAAGGCAGCUCACUAAGGCGAUACUGACGCUGAGGCACGAAAGCGUGGGGAUCGAACAGGAUUAGAAACCCUGGUAGUCC
rnacentral:rRNA from 1 species